UGCUGCUAGUCACAUCUCAAGAAGG
rnacentral:piRNA from 1 species